CUACGGGAUGCAGCAGUGAGGAAUAUUGCACAAUGGGGGGAACCCUGAUGCAGCAACGCCGCGUGGAGGAUGACGCAUUUCGGUGUGUAAACUCCUUUUAUAUGUCAAGAAAAUGACGGUAGCAUAUGAAUAAGCACCGGCUAACUCCGUGCCAGCAGCCGCGGUAAUACGGAGGGUGUAAGCGUUACUCGGAAUCACUGGGCGUAAAGGACGCGUAGGCGGGUUGGAAAGUCAGGUAUGAAAUCCUACAGCUUAACUGUAGAACUGCACUUGAAACUUCUAAUCUAGAGUAUGGGAGGGGGAGAUGGAAUUAGUGGUGUAGGGGUAAAAUCCGUAGAUAUCACUAGGAAUACCUAAAGCGAAGGCGAUCUCCUGGAACAUUACUGACGCUAAGGCGUGAAAGCGUGGGGAGCAAACAGGAUUAGAUACCCUAGUAGUC
rnacentral:rRNA from 1 species